AUCAGAGUAUCUCUAGAAGCAUCUUACUGCAUUAAGUACACAACUGUGAUAGACUGUUUGCAUAGAUUAGGUAAAUGGACAAGCCUUAUAAUGUUUAAGGCAUGCUGUUGUAGAUUAGACUGCUGUAGUACUGCACUGCUGUCAAUUUCUGUAGAGAAUAUUUCGGCGUUGUGCCCAGAAAGAACAAAGCAUCAGUGGCUGGACAUAAGUAGUUGUCUUUAAGAGUGGGUAUCAGGUACUAAUCUUCUUCUUCCAUACUGCAGUUAGAUUGUACAAAGGAAAAAAAAAAAAGGGUAGUUAUUAGUACCUUGCUGAUAUAGUCCUGAUUAGAUUUUUGAUAAAUAACUGAAACUGAAGGGCUAUCUUUUUCUUUUUUUGAACAAUCUACCAGCAUGAAACUUUUCAUGAUUAGCUUUGUAAGCACCAAGAUAAGCAGUAAUUUUCUAGAGCUCGUGCAAACUCGUCGUCUCUAACAUAUUAGCUGUGGAUUCUGGUAGAGAUAUAUCUAUGAAAUUUGGCUCGCAGAUCUUGCGUUGCUGCUGUAUUUUCCGUCAUUUUAUGUUAUCUAAGACAUAUGUGCUUCUUCAUCUGCUAUAGUAGUGGAAAUAUUUUACUUUUAAUCUGCGAAAAACUUUUAUUCAUUAUAAAGAGCAUUCUUUUUUUGUAGAUAAGAAGUCAUGCGCAAAAGUACUUUUUGAAGGUUCAAAAGAAUGGCACGAGCGAACAUGUACCACCCCCUCGACCAAAGAGGAAAGCAGCGCAUCCAUAUCCGCAAAAAGCACCUAAAAAUGGUAUGAUCUCUAACAGAGCUAUAAUGAGCUAUAUGUUUGAGUACAACUAAGUUUUUAUUUUGGGUGAAACUUUUGCAGCUGCCAUCAUAACUCAGGCUGUCGCUCCUUCACCGGCUUCUUCUCUUGUGUUGGAACCCUGCUAUACCGUAUCUAGUGAUAGCUCUACUGUCGUUAGGAACUCUACUUCAAAUGCUACAUUGUCCUCUUGUGUUAAUGGUUCAGUUCAGCCUUUUAGUGCUGCUCAAAUGACAAAAGGUAUUAAUCAUCAAAUCCAAGUAUUUACUCAUUCAUUGUGUAAUUUUUUUUGCCUUUUUGUAAAUGAUUUCCCCAUUCAACCGUGGAAAAUAAGCUAACCUAAGUCUUAAAUGUGAUGCAGUACCAAGCGAAGCUAUUAUGGCCAAUAAUUGUUGUAGCAGGACUGAGAGCCCUACUGAGGUGUGGCUGGCUUCUGAAACAACUGAGAAGGAAAAUCAAGUUCCAUUUCUUCGGGGUUAGUCUCGCCUUUUAGUUUGUACUUAAGAUUCACUUCAUAGGCAUAACUCAUUGCCUGCAACCAGUGUAAUCUUACAUAUCAUAAAACACGAUUACUAGGUGGGGAUUAAUACUUCAAAAUUAUAAUUUUUCUAAAUAGAAACCUAAAAUAAAAUUCUAAUUCUACAAAUCUGAUCCACGACAUCUAAAUAAUUGUUUCCUGUGAAUGCUAUUGGAUUUUUGAAUUCUUGUUAUCUCAUUGAGUACUUAAUUGGCAGGGCUACAUUACUAGCAGCUUAUUAUAUGUAUUUUCCUUCUCUCACCACACAAGUCCAUACUCCAAUAAGUAAAAUUAAUAGUUCUUAAUUUUUUUUCCCCAUGUAUCGCCAUAAUUAUGAAGAAAUGAAUCAUUAAGUUUGUCUUAAUAUACAUAUAAAUUUUUUUUUGUAUAUUUUCUGCAGUUGUCGUUUGUCUGGCCAUGUGAUUUUUCAGUUGAGAUGCAAUUGAGCGUAUACCCUUUUACUUUUCUGUCAUUAUAUUCUGUUUACUCACAUUUCUUUUUUUGCUUUCGUCUGGUGUGUCGUGAAGUCAUGCCGGACUUCUCUCAGGUAUACAGCUUUCUUGCCGGCAUAUUUGACCCAAAUACAAGUGGGCAUUUGGAGAAGCUUAAAGAGAUGGACCCAAUUGAUGUUGAAACAGUAUGCUAUUCAUCCCACCUUCAUUUUUAUUUAACUUCAUGUUAGUUGUUUAAAACAUACUGAGUUGCUCUAUUCAUGUUUAACAAUAUGGUGAACUGUAUAUUAGUUGCUUCUAUUUUUCUAGUUCUCUUUCUCCCCAGUGAAUUCUCAAAAAUUUCAGGACUUAGUUCGUGUUUUAUCACAUCUAAAUUUCUCUAUUAUUAGUAGGAAUUGAGGUCCCAGUUUCUUCAAUACAAAUGUAGAUGUAGUUAUUGUUUUAAAUAGAGUUCGCUGAGAUGUUAACUUGGUCUUAUAUGUUCUAUGAAAGCAUGAAGUUCUAAUGCAUAAUUGAGGAAUACGGCAUUGCUAGAUUAAGGUAGAAAAUAAUUUGGAAAAACUUCAAAAACCCCCCCUGUGGUUUCAUAGUUUCUCACUUUGCCCCUCUGUGGUUUAAAAUGUAUCAAAUUGCCCCCCUAUGGUUUUGUUUUUAUCUUUUCGGUAGCUUUUUCGUUAAUAUUUCAUUAAAUUAUAUAUAAAAAACUUCAGAUACCCAUCUAGAUUUAUCAAAUAUUCACUUUAGUACCCUUUAAAUUAACUUUAUCACUGAUUUAUAAAAAAAAAAAAAUGAAAUUGAUAAGAAAAAGAGAAAAAAGAAACCACAGAGGAGCAAAUUGAUACAUUUUAAACCACAAGGGGGCAAAGUGAGACUACGAAACCACGGGGGGGUUUUUGAAGUUUUCCCAAAUAAUUUUUUGAGGUCAAAUGACAUCAUGAUUUUGUUAGUGGCAUGCAUGAGUAAUUUUGGGAAAAGACAACUAGAUGUAACUUUCUCAUAUUAACCGAAGUAGUAUAUAUGCAUUGUUAACGAGGAUCAUUCUGUUUUGAGAUAGGCUUUUUUUCGGGUCAUACUCAUUCAGGUUCAAUUUCUCGAUUCGGUUUAUUAACUUGAAAGCUUCCUAGUUAAGAUCUUGGUAUUUUACAAUAUCCUUUAACAGGCAAAGUAGUGGCCGUCCCCUUGCAAUAUUCCUCAAAUGCAUGAACUCGAGACAACCUAAAAUUUAUGCUUUCAUUACUUCUUUGAUGCACGAGGAAGUGGCGUAUGUCUCUAAACGUGCAUCUGAUUAUAUUUCGAAAAUGCUUCUCUACAGUGAAUCAGCAUAUUCUAAUGUUCAUAUUAUAUUAUUAUUGUUGUUUUUUAUUGUCUCGCGCUUCAAACCUCGCCUUGAUUGACUCAUGUUCUCUUUGCUUACUAUGUCCAGGUACUGUUGCUGAUGAGGAACCUAUCGGCCAAUUUGACCAGCCCCGACUUUGAGGCACAUGUAAGUAACUCCAUUUGUCGAGAUUCAGCAUAUCAGUUCAUUUUCUUAAAUCAAUAGUAAUUUAUACCCUAUCCAUCCUCUACUCCCUAAUGUGUAUUUGAAUCAUCUCUUAUUCUUUUUUAUAAACUGUCAUCGUCAUCGACUCUCCUGCUGAAGUUCAAUUUUGGUUAUCUCAGUAGCAGUGUUGAUUUCCAUGAUGUAAUGAUUGAAGUCAGUUUCUUUUUUCUUUUUUUUUUUUUGAAGAAAAAUAUAUUUUAUUUUUUUCUUUUUAUAUUCACUUAUUUUCUUUCCCAUUCUGGCUUUUCGUAAUGCCCUAACUUCCUUUCUGUAUUCUUACCUUUACGAUGUUGUUUCAGAGACGGUUACUUUCCACAUAUGGUUCCGGCACGGAGGAAGCUAACUCGAACAGCUUCAGCAAUC
rnacentral:lncRNA from 1 species